rnacentral:rRNA from 1 species
UGGGGAAUUUUGGACAAUGGGCGAAAGCCUGAUCCAGCAAUGCCGCGUGCAGGAAGAAGGCCUUCGGGUUGUAAACUGCUUUUGUACGGAACGAAAAGGCUCUUUCUAAUAAAGAGGGCCCAUGACGGUACCGUAAGAAUAAGCACCGGCUAACUACGUGCCAGCAGCCGCGGUAAUACGUAGGGUGCGAGCGUUAAUCGGAAUUACUGGGCGUAAAGCGUGCGCAGGCGGUUCUAUAAGACAGAUGUGAAAUCCCCGGGCUCAACCUGGGAAUGGCAUUUGUGACUGUAGAGCUAGAGUACGGUAGAGGGGGAUGGAAUUCCGCGUGUAGCAGUGAAAUGCGUAGAUAUGCGGAGGAACACCGAUGGCGAAGGCAAUCCCCUGGACCUGUACUGACGCUCAUGCACGAAAGCGUGGGGAGCAAACAGGAUUAGAUACCCAAGUAGUCCCUGAGCGGGCUGGCAAGGCGCAU